UACGGAGGGAGCUAGCGUUGUUCGGAAUUACUGGGCGUAAAGGGUGCGUAGGCGGCGCGGUAAGUCGGGUGUGAAAUCUCGGAGCUUAACUCCGAAACUGCAUUUGAUACUGCGGUGCUUGAGGACUGGAGAGGAGACUGGAAUUCACGGUGUAGCAGUGAAAUGCGUAGAUAUCUGGAGGAACACCGGUGGCGAAGGCGGCUCACUGGCCCGUAACUGACGCUGAGGUGCGAAAGCGUGGGGAGCAAACAGG
rnacentral:rRNA from 1 species